AAAGAGCCAGAAACUCAGGGAAAUUCCAACUUUUUUGCAGUGUCUAAACCUUGAGAAGGAAAGAAGAAAGGAAUGAGAACAGCUGUGCUCAGACACAUGCAAUUCUAUCCACCACUGCAUUUGUACGUUUUCUCGCUCACUGAUCUUGCAUGAUUGGCACAGUGGACUCUGCUCCAGCGGCAGUCAGCCACAGGAUUUUUCUACCACUUCAUGAUUUCACAGAAACAUUCAGGGACAGACUCAAUAGAUUGUUUCUUUAGCUAAUCAUUCUUGAUUAAUGAGAUGAGCCCUCAACCAAGUCAGGCAUAGAAUCUUGCCAACAAAGAGACUGCCCAAGAAUAUUCAAUCAGUUGAUGCCUCCCGGCAAAUAUUAACAAACAGCGUUGAGAAGGAUACAAGCUCAGCUUUGCGGCACUCGCUACCCUUGGAGUGGGAAGGAAACCUGCCUUGGAUUACGUCUUAGUUUGAAUUUCCCUACAAGCAGACCCAUAGACAUGGACUUGGAUGCAGAUGAUCUCAGAAUACAGAGGUAAGAGAGUAAAGAAGGUAAAUCCGUGAAUUAAGAAAAGACAAUAAAUGUGUGUUAAUGAGCAGGUUACCAUUGUAAUUGUGGCUUAGUCUUAUGAAAACUCUCAGAAGAACCAUAAAAAAACGUAGAGAGAUGAGAAAACUGACAUGUUUACCCAUCAACUCCAGUACCUCAUUGGUUGGAAUUUGCUCUUAGCAGUGUUGUGACUCAGGAUUUCAAGGCUGAACAAGUUUCCAAGGAAGGGCUGAGCAAGUUUCCAAGGAUAGCUUUCAAGCUCUCAGUAAAAGUAGAAGAAAGAUGCAGGUGACUAAGCUGGUCUGCUAACAACUGAAGUGCUGGGAAUUGUCCACUGUAGUUGCAGAAUACUCAGAGGUGCACAAAGGGAUAUAUGGUUUCUUGUCAACCAUGUUUGCUAUAGUCCAUUCCUGUCACUCAGGACUGCUCAUGGUCCACUGUGAAUCCACUCUGUUAGUAUACCUCACAUUGGUAGCCAACUGCAAUUUCUGCAAGUAAGUGUUAAAAACAGAAUAUGUAUAACAUGCUGUAGUCCUACUGCUGCAGUUGGUCCUCUUAUUUUCAUCGUUUCCUUCCUAUAUCACACACUAUAGAUUUUCUUGUUUCAGCAAGUUUUUCCACUUAUUUAGUUUGCUUUUCCAAUCAAGAUAUUCUUUCCUAAGAGAUUUGAGUCCCUGGAAAUCUUGAUUUCAUCAAGCUCCUGUUGUUCUAAUUUCCAUUUUACUCUUUUUACCAGGCAUAAAACCAGCAAAAGUUACCUGGGUUCCACACAAACUUAUUCAGAUCCCACUAGGUAGCAACACUUUGUCUUCUGAUUAUCUGUACCAGCAUAAAACUCUUCUUUGCCCAGUGAUCUACCAAAGCGACCAGGUGGCCAUUGUAGCUUCAGUGGAAAACUUACUGUAUAUUCUAGAGAAAGCAUUCCUUCUCUCCAAUCCCCAAAUGUGAGUGCCUCUAAUUAUGUUGAGCCUAAAACUAUAGACUGAGUAGCACAAAUUCCCCAAGUGAGUCACUGGGAGUAAUUGGGAGAGGGGCCAAUCCUUUUUCUACCCUUUUGUUCCUAAACCAAGGAGACUCAUAGAAAACUAAACACUUGUAGUAAAUUUAGUUCCAACCCACCUACUGCAUCCUGAAAGACAGUGCUACACUCCACAAGGCAGCAUCUUCAAGAUGAUGUCUUUAUUGAACCUUUAAUACAUUUCUACAUUCCACUAUGACAGCAGCUUCUGGAGGAUGACAGCAGAUUCCAUCAUCAUAUAUUCAUCGAUCAUGCCUCCAUCACCAUAAAAUGAACCCUUCAUUCAAAGACGAUGCUACAUAUGAUUUCAUGACAUUAAAUAAGAAUGUUCACAAGCUCCUUAGUAAUGCACUGGUAGAGGCAUUCUGGGCAAUGGAGAUAAAUAGUACCCACAGAUUCAUCAGAUUAAGAAUCAGUUGUAGUAAGGGCAAAGUGCUGGCUUCCCUAUGGUAAAAGAAGUCUGAUGUAGUUAACAUCUCAUGCAGUGUUUUUUGGUCUUCUUGAGGUAUGGACCAUAUAUACAUCUCAGCAUUAGUCUUGAUGUUAUGCAGAUGUUGAGCAGAUGCAGUAGCUAGAUCAGUCAUGGUAAGUAAAGAUCUGUGUUGCUGAAUUCACUUAUAGACAGAGACUGGCUCACUUCCAGUGUAAGUAUUCUGUGUGAUAACUGCUCACCGACUUCUCUGCAUUGACAGGUUCUGGUGGCUGUUGAUAUGAGAUACAGAGAUCCUCACACAGGGAGUUUGUAUGACUCUCAUAGGUCCAUGCACAUACCUCUUCCUCAGACAACUUUUUCUCUGAUAUUAUAAGCUUUCUCCUUCGAGCCUUUCACCAACAAGCUAAACUAUUCACUACUAACAUUGAGUCCCUAUAAUCUUCACCUUAGACCACUAUGCCUUAAUACUUUGUUUUACUACUCAAGUUCUACACACUGACAGAAUUUCCUCUCACAACUGUCUUUUAAGGCCAUCCAUAACUAAAAAAGUGCCUUUUUUAAGGCAUUCAAUAACUAAGCGUUGGAAGGUCCUUCUUCAAGGAUUUCCAGGCUUCCCUUCAUUUGAUGGGCUCAGAGUCUGAGAACUGGCUCAGAACUGAAAGCAAGCCAAGGGUCAUAUAUAUACAUAUAUAUAUUAUUAUGAUGGCUGACAACAUCAUUCUUCUUGCCAGUUCCUGAUCUUUGUUAUAGAAGUCAAACGAUGGAAUCAUUGAUUCACCUCUGGGAACAUCAUGGUCUAUUAGCUACAUCCAAUUAUCCCUGCAUUUCAAACUGCUCUGGAUUGUACCCCAACUCUCAUAUGCAUCACUGUCUUCCUCACUGUUUCUGAGCAUGGAUGACAUCUAAAGGAAAAGCUUUCUUUGAUUCUUUGAUUAGUCCUUUCUCCUCUGCUUCUCUAAACCAAAUUUCCUCUGAGAGGACCUCUGUAGCCAUGCCUGCACACACCGAUAAUCCCUUUCAUUGCUACAUAUAAGGUACAGAGCUUUUUACUUGUAAAAUGAGCCUUCCCCUUGAGGAAUUUUAUGUGUACUGACAUUCUCUGAGAUCUGCAAGUUCUGGGGCAUGUUUCUCCAUUUUUGGGGUUUUAUCUGUUAGUUUUUCUUGCAUUGUAUUUCCUCUCUCAUGGAUGCUGCCUUAUCCCUACUAUGUUUGUCUUCAUUCCUAGAACAGUGACUUGGAAACCCUUCACCUCUGUUCACUAUGUUGCUGGUUCUUUCUGAGCUCCACCAUCUCAGUACACAUCAUCGCUUUAAUAUACUCCUUACUUGUAGAUCUGCACAAUUUCAGCAGAUUUUGGUAGCCAUUAAAUGUUUUUACAAUUUACAAAUUGUAAAUCUCUUCUACUUUUGCUGAAAACAGUGUUCAUAGAUUUCUUCACCUGCUACUUUCCCCCUGCCUCUGAUAACGUUUCCCUUAUUGCUUUAGUGAUGGCUGGAAAAAGAUAGGAAAAUGCUAUCUCACACCACUCUGCUUAUAUAACAGUCUCCAGAAAGGGACCAUUCAAAAGAAAGAGCCAGAACUUCUUGCUUGGCAAAUAAACUUUAAUAAAUAAAAAUUCAAACUUGAAACUCUAGAUAUGAAUGAGGUAGUAAUUUAUAUGUAUUAGUAACCAACUAAAAUAGUAGACAUGGGACCUUGUGUUUUAUGUAUGCUUGUAUGGUCUUAUUUAUAGUCAUUAUGGUUUUAAUAUCUUGAAUUUAUCAUGAACACAUUGCCGCUCAUAGGAAGUCAAUUGACCAGCUUUACCUAAUAUCAAUUUGCACAGCCAGGUUUUGAUUCCUGAUGCAACUGAUUACAAAUGCAUGCCUAAUUUUUUUUUUUCUCCUUUUUUACUUCUUCUACUACAUGAUGGUGAGAGUAACACGAAAGUUCUUGAAGUCUUGCUGACAAAGAAAAGGUGAAUGCUGUUUAUACUUCAGAGAGGAAAUUCUCAUUUUCAGAAAAGCUCUACUUCAGACCAAAGCAACCAAGAUGCAUGCCACAGAUAGGUGGAAGAUAACUGUAUAUCUUAGUUACAGGUCCUUCUAGUUGUGGGAUGUGGGACGCCGACUCA